UUGUUUCUAUUGAUCUUCCUAGCAUUAUGAAGUCAAGUACAUGGGGAUUCUCUACGGAGCUCGAGUCGCUACUCUGCAAGCUUUUUUGAGUGACACCAUCCUGGGUGGAGCAACAAUGUUUGUACAACAGAAUGUCACCAUAGUACCAAGAAAGGGAACAGCUGUUUUAUGGUACAACUUCAAGCCCAAUGGAGAUUCCGAACCAAACCUCCAACCUUCAAUAUGUCCCUUGCUUGUUGGUUGU
rnacentral:sRNA from 1 species